UACGGAGGGUGCAAGCGUUAUCCGGAUUCACUGGGUUUAAAGGGUGCGUAGGUGGGUCUGUAAGUCCGUGGUGAAAUCUCCGAGCUUAACUUGGAAACUGCCAUGGAUACUAUAGGUCUUGAAUACCGUGGAGGUGAGCGGAAUAUGUCAUGUAGCGGUGAAAUGCUUAGAUAUGACAUAGAACACCAAUUGCGAAGGCAGCUCACUACACGAAUAUUGACACUGAGGCACGAAAAGCGUGGGGGAUCAAAACAGG
rnacentral:rRNA from 1 species